rnacentral:rRNA from 1 species
ACAAAGGGCAGCAAACUCGCGAGAGCUAGCAAAUCCCAUAAACCGUGGCUCAGUUCAGAUCGUAGGCUGCAACUCGCCUACGUGAAGUAGGAAUCGCUAGUAAUCGCAGGUCAGCAUACUGCGGUGAAUACGUUCCCAGGCCUUGUACACACCGCCCGUCACACCAUGGAAGUUGGCCAUGCCCGAAGUCGUUACUCCAACCCUUGUGGAGGAGGACGCCGAAGGUGGGGCUAAUGACUGGGGUGAAGUCGUAACAAGGUAGCCGUACCGGAAGGUGCGGCUGGAUCACCUCCUAA